UCUUGAGAGCGGCGGACGGGUGAGUAAUGCCUAGGAAUCUGCCUGGUAGUGGGGGAUAACGUUCGGAAACGGACGCUAAUACCGCAUACGUCCUACGGGAGAAAGCAGGGGACCUUCGGGCCUUGCGCUAUCAGAUGAGCCUAGGUCGGAUUAGCUAGUUGGUGAGGUAAUGGCUCACCAAGGCGACGAUCCGUAACUGGUCUGAGAGGAUGAUCAGUCACACUGGAACUGAGACACGGUCCAGACUCCUACGGGAGGCAGCAGUGGGGAAUAUUGGACAAUGGGCGAAAGCCUGAUCCAGCCAUGCCGCGUGUGUGAAGAAGGUCUUCGGAUUGUAAAGCACUUUAAGUUGGGAGGAAGGGCAGUUACCUAAUACGUGAUUGUUUUGACGUUACCGACAGAAUAAGCACCGGCUAACUCUGUGCCAGCAGCCGCGGUAAUACAGAGGGUGCAAGCGUUAAUCGGAAUUACUGGGCGUAAAGCGCGCGUAGGUGGUUUGUUAAGUUGGAUGUGAAAUCCCCGGGCUCAACCUGGGAACUGCAUUCAAAACUGACUGACUAGAGUGUGGUAGAGGGUG
rnacentral:rRNA from 1 species